AUUAAUAUUGAUCGGGAUUGACAUAUGGAUAGAUCAAGAAGGGUCUUUCCUAACGAUGCAUGUGAGAAAAUUCGAGCUAUGAUCCCCUAGGCUCACAAGGAGUAAGGAUGUUAGAGCUUGGAAGGGAAACCCAAAGGGUGAAUUUACCCUCACCUCUGUGUAUAAUUGCAUUUUUCUGGCGGCCCUACAGUUAGUGUGACCC
rnacentral:lncRNA from 1 species